UACGAAGGGGGCUAGCGUUGCUCGGAAUUACUGGGCGUAAAGCGCGUGUAGGCUGCUUGGAAAGUCGGGUGUGAAAGCCCUGAGCUCAACUCAGGAAGUGCACUCGAAACUUCCGAGCUCGAGUCCUGGAGAGGGUGGCGGAAUUCUCGGUGUAGAGGUGAAAUUCGUAGAUAUCGAGAGGAACACCGGUGGCGAAGGCGGCUACCUGGACAGUGACUGACGCUGAGACGCGAAAGCGUGGGGAGCAAACAGG
rnacentral:rRNA from 1 species